CUUUUCUCCCUCCUGCUCACAUUGUGAGCGCUCCGCCGCCCACAAAACUGCCGAUUCCCGCUCCACCCCCGCCUCCCCCACUCCACCCACUCCCGGGCACCCAGGGUCUCUGAAAUGAUACUUAAAUGGGGUGCGUAUAGAAAUGUAGAAAUCAGCCAUCACAACACGUCUAAACAACUGUGAUGUGAAAACUCAAGUCCCACCUGACAGCACCAGGCUGGAUAAUAUGCUGCAGUGGAGAGUGGCCUGCAGAUGACCAGGGAGUGACCAGGAACUGACCAUCUGCUUGAAGCCCUCACUGGUGGCAAGGCUGAGCCUUGGCCUGCAAACAAGAUAAAUGGGAGGAUUUCAGGUGUUUACCCCCCACAGACCAAGGACGGAAGUUUAGAGUGAGAGCUAGAGGUAAACUUCUAGGAGAUCCAAAGCCACUCCUUUGGAGUUCCUUAGAGAAAAAAGCAACAGG